rnacentral:sRNA from 13 species
AGGUCCCGGGUUCGAUUCCGCCCACCCCCGAAAACAUCGUCGAUUUGCGGGCAGUUCUCCGAACAGCCUGUAAAUCGCAGGAGGCGAAGGGUCGCGACCGGUGGGAAAAAUUGAGGAG